CCGCCCCUACGGGAGGCAGCAGUGAGGAAUAUUGGUCAAUGGCCGCAGGGCUGAACCAGCCAAGUCGCGUGAGGGAUGACGGUCCUAUGGAUUGUAAACCUCUUUUGUCAGGGAGCAAAGGGCGCCACGUGUGGCGUUUUGCGAGUACCUGAAGAAAAAGCAUCGGCUAACUCCGUGCCAGCAGCCGCGGUAAUACGGAGGAUGCGAGCGUUAUCCGGAUUUAUUGGGUUUAAAGGGUGCGCCGGCGGAAUGUCAAGUCAGCGGUAAAAUUUCGGGGCUCAACCUGCGUCCGCCGUUGAAACUGG
rnacentral:rRNA from 1 species